rnacentral:rRNA from 1 species
UACGGAGGGUGCGAGCGUUGUCCGGAAUCACUGGGCGUAAAGGGCGCGUAGGUGGCGCGGGAAGUCAACGGUGAAAGUUCGGGGCUCAACCCUGAAUCGGCCGUCGAUACUCCCGGGCUCGAGCACUGUAGAGGCAGAUGGAAUUCCGGGUGUAGCGGUGGAAUGCGUAGAGAUCCGGAAGAACACCGGUGGCGAAGGCGGUCUGCUGGGCAGUUGCUGACACUGAGGCGCGACAGCGUGGGGGAGCAAACAGG